ACUUGUCCGCCAGAGAAUUACGGGUGAAAACCUAAAACUCAAAAGACUUGACGGUGUCCCAAUUCUACCUAGAGGAGCCUGUUUCAUAAUCGAUAAUCCCCGCUCCACCCGACCCCUUCUUGAAAUACUUCAGCCUAUAUACCGCCGUCCUCUUCCGCUUACCUUUUGAAAGACAAACAGUAAGCCCAAUAGUCCAACAACUAAAAAGUCAGGUCAAGGUGUAGCUUAUGAAGGGGAGAAAAUGGGCUACAUUUUCUAUCCUAGAACACCCACGGAAAGUUUUCUGAAAUAAGAAGCACAAAGGAGGAUUUAGUAGUAAG
rnacentral:rRNA from 1 species